AUUGAACGCUGGCGGCAUGCUUUACACAUGCAAGUCGAACGGUAACAGGGAGCUUGCUCCGCUGACGAGUGGCGAACGGGUGAGUAAUGCGUCGGAACGUGCCGAGUAGUGGGGGAUAACGCAGCGAAAGUUGUGCUAAUACCGCAUACGUACUGAGGUAGAAAGUGGGGGACCUUCGGGCCUCACGCUAUUCGAGCGGCCGACGUCUGAUUAGCUAGUAGGUGAGGUAAAGGCUCACCUAGGCGACGAUCAGUAGCGGGUCUGAGAGGAUGAUCCGCCACACUGGGACUGAGACACGGCCCAGACUCCUACGGGAGGCAGCAGUAGGGAAUUUUGGACAAUGGGCGAAAGCCUGAUCCAGCCAUGCCGCGUGUCUGAAGAAGGCCUUCGGGUUGUAAAGGACUUUUGUCGGGGAGGAAAUCCCCAGCGCUAAUACCGCUGGGGGAUGACAGUACCUGAAGAAUAAGCACCGGCUAACUAUGUGCCAGCCGCCGCCGUAA
rnacentral:rRNA from 1 species